AGUCAUUAAGCAAAUGUGGUCGUUAAGAGAAACCCUUUAUCCAACGGCCAGUUUUUUGCUGGAAACCGGAAGUAAAUGUCAGAAACCAGCAAAAAAAAACAUGAUGAUUGUGAUCAUGUGACAUUGCAAAUGGCCAUAAAGGUGAUCUAGUUGCCAAAUGCCCAAUAUGCAGUGGCAUGACCAUGGGGGGAAGGGGUUGUGUAGCUGCCAUAACUUCAAAAUUGGAUCAUAAGUAACUUUUGGAGAGACUGUCAUAUCUUCAAGUGGUUGCUAAGUGAGGACUACUUGUAAUUUUAAAAGUAUGUAAACUUUUUACACUUUUUUUGUUUUGUUUUCCAUUUCCCUCUCAAGGAACAAGAUGAGAAAAGAAUCAAAACCGAAGCCAAAGAAGUGUCUGAGAUAAAAGAAGAAGUAAAUCAGAUUAAAACUGUAACUCCUGUUAAAACGACCCCUCCCAAGUGCAUGGAAUGCAGGCAAUACUUGGACGACCCUGAUCUGAAGUUCUUUCAAGGGGAUCCAGAUGAUGCAGUAAGUUGGCCCACUUUUGCAGCUGAAAAACUUCCUCAUUUGGAGGAAAAAAAUAAUACUAAUUGUAACUGAACAUAUAC